rnacentral:rRNA from 1 species
CCCUUAGAUGUCCUGGGCUGCACGCGCGCUACACUGAUGCGUCCCAUGAGUGAUUCCUUACUCGAGAGGGUUGGGUAAACUGUUCAUGCGCAUCGUGAUGGGAAUAGAGCUUUGUAAUUUUUGCUCUUCAACGAGGAAUUCCUAGUAGGUGCAAUUCAUCAACUUGCGCCGAUUACGUCCCUGCCCUUUGUACACACCGCCCGUCGCACCUACCGAUUGAAUGGUCCGGUGAAAUCUCGGGACGGCGGCUUGGUCGCUUGCGUCCGACUGCUGAAACUUGAUUAAACCAUAUCAUUUAGAGGAAGGUGAAGUCGUAACA